rnacentral:misc_RNA from 1 species
GUGAAUCAUCGAAUUUUUGAACGCAAAUUGCGCUUCCUGGUAUCCCGGGAAGUAUGCCUGUUUGAGGGUCAGUAUUAACAAAAAAUCGGUUUGGUUGCAAAUUGUGACGUUUCCGGAGUUUGGGCUUAUCUUAACUUUUUUGGUUAAGGGGCUUAAAAUUGACCUUUUUUGCGCAUUUUUAGACGUACAUAAAUUUUUUUUUUUUCUUUUGUCUUUAUUCCAAAAUUUUAUUAAUAUCGAU